GGCCCCUUGGCCUAAUGGUAAGGCGUUGCUUUCCGGUUGGGGUAGCCCCUUUUAGCGAGGGAUCAACUACUGUUGCACUGCUGGCAAAGAUUCUGGGUUCGAGUCCCAGGGGGGUCG
rnacentral:tRNA from 1 species